GCACGCAAAGCUCCACUACUGAUUAGGCCUACGUUUUUAAACAUGAUUCUAUCUAUAGGCUACAACAACACGGUGCAAGAAUGUGUUAUUGUUUUCAAGAGAGUAGACCUACUCAAUGAAUGGCUAUGGCUGUAAACUGCAGUGUUGUAAGCUAACUUGAAUAACCGCUCAAACGUCCUGUUCUGAAUGCUUCAUGCCGAAAUAACUGCAUACUGCCUAGGCCUGAUUACGCAACCAUUUGGAUCAGUUAUGGGUCUAUUCGACAGUUUACAAGGUCCAGAAAGCCGAGUCCGCCUCAAAGUUUGGACUUGUAUCCCUGACAUGCAACAAAUGUAGUGUGGGCCUGCUGGGUGUUUGCACGAACACUGCGGAUGAGGUCUGCAUAAUCAACACAAGUAGCUGCUUCACUGGAAGGGCUACCUUCCCUUCCCUCACUACUUUCGCAGGCUUCAACACCCAAGGCUGUCUGGAGAGUGCUAUGUGCAACACCACCACCAACGCCACCCUCCUGGGCACCACUUACACCUCCGUCAAGGCCUGCUGCAACUCCAACAAGUGCAACCCAGUCACAAUUAGCGGCGCAACCUCCGCCAAGCUCUCUGUCACCACAGCUCUUGGCGCCGCCCUGGUGGCCUCCGUGUGGAGCAUGCUGUACUAGACCUACUAGAGGAGGGUUUUCCAAACUCUGUCCUCGGGACCCCAAGGGGUGCACGUUUUGGGUUUUGCCCUAGCACUGCAUAGCUGAUUCAAAUAAUCAACAAAUCAUCAAGCUAGGGGCAACAGCCAAAACGUGCACCACUUGGGGUCCCGAGGACCGAGUUUGGAAAAUGCUGAGCUAGAGGAAGUAGAAGACACAUUCUGAUUCUGAAGAACUAGAAGACCGUCCCAGUUUGUUUUGUUCACGCUACAUGUUUAAACCGGCUUGACUCUGGUUUUCUCAUGUGUCGAUGCUGUUCUAGCAUGAAAUAUGUACUUUUUCAUGUUCCCAUACUAUAACUACUUUACAUGUAUAAUGUUAUUGUUAAAUCUCAUGGAUCCUAUGGAGAGGGCCAAAGGGUAACAGUCUGGUUUCAGUCACUGAUUAGGUUGGAUAGCCGUGCAUUAGGAAAGGGGUGAGGAAUGUGGGCCGAGGUCACGUCAGCUACAGCGACAAGGAACAGUUCUAUUACAUACACACCACCUAAGUUUGUUCCUUUCAACAGAGCUGUAUUGGCUAUCUAGAUGUGCAAGAAGGAGACGCCGCCAAAUAGUAUAAAUACUUGUGCUGGUGGAAACAUGUCUUUGUCUUUUCAGCUGUUUGACCCCGAUGUGGGGAUACACUUGGUUUGAGCUUUA